CAAAGGAAGCGAUUCCGGCAACGGAUGGGCAUGCGUGACAUUAGCUAGUUGGCGGGGCAACGGCCCACCAAGGCGACGAUGUCUAGGGGUUCUGAGAGGAAGGUCCCCCACACUGGUACUGAGACACGGACCAGACUCCUACGGGAGGCAGCAGUGAGGAAUAUUGGUCAAUGGGCGCGAGCCUGAACCAGCCAAGUCGCGUGAGGGAUGACGGCCCUACGGGUUGUAAACCUCUUUUGUCGGGGAGCAAAUUCCGCCACGUGUGGCGGAGUCGAGAGUACCCGAAGAAAAAGCAUCGGCUAACUCCGUGCCAGCAGCCGCGGUAAUACGGAGGAUGCGAGCGUUAUCCGGAUUUAUUGGGUUUAAAGGGUGCGUAGGCGGACUGUCAAGUCAGCGGUAAAAUACGGGGGCUCAACCUCCGCCCGCCGUUGAAACUGACGGUCUUGAGUGGGCGAGAAGUAUGCGGAAUGCGUGGUGUAGCGGUGAAAUGCAUAGAUAUCACGCAGAACUCCGAUUGCGAAGGCAGCAUACCGGCGCCCAACUGACGCUGAAGCACGAAAGCGUGGGUAUCGAACAGGAUUAGAUACCCUGGUAGUCCACGCAGUAAACGAUGAAUGCUAGCUGUCCGGGGCGAAUGGGCCCUGG
rnacentral:rRNA from 1 species